rnacentral:rRNA from 1 species
CGAGCGCUGUAGCAAUACAGAGCGGCGCACGGGUGAGGAACACGUGGGAACGUGCCCAACGGUUCGGAAUAACUCAGGGAAACUUGAGCUAAUACCGGAUACGCCCCUUCGGGGGGAAAGAUUUAUCGCCGAUGGAGCGGCCCGCGUCCGAUUAGCUUGUUGGUGAGGUAAAAGCUCACCAAGGCGACGAUCGGUAGCUGGUUUGAGAGAACGAUCAGCCACACUGGGACUGAGACACGGCCCAGACUCCUACGGGAGGCAGCAGUGGGGAAUCUUGGACAAUGGGGGAAACCCUGAUCCAGCCAUGCCGCGUGGGUGAUGAAGGCCCUAGGGUUGUAAAACUCUUUCGGCGGGGACGAUAAUGACGGUACCCGCAGAAGAAGCUCCGGCUAACUUCGUGCCAGCAGCCGCGGUAAUACGAAGGGGGCUAGCGUUGUUCGGAAUUACUGGGCGUAAAGCGCGCGCAGGCGGUUUUCCAAGUCAGAGGUGAAAGCCCAGAGCUCAACUCUGGAACUGCCUUUGAAACUGGAAAACUAGGGUACGGGAGAGGUGAGUGGAAUUCCGAGUGUAGAGGUGAAAUUCGUAGAUAUUCGGAAGAACACCAGUGGCGAAGGCGGCUCACUGGCCCGUUACCGACGCUCAGGCGCGAC